rnacentral:tRNA from 1 species
UGUUCUGUAGCUUAGUUGGUUAAAGCGCCGGUCUAGCGAAUACGGAGUCGUGGGUUCGAAUCCCACCAGAACAC